AAAAUUUUUAGAAUCAAUGAUUUUUUUGCUUUUCGGGGUGCCCGAGAUCUUGAUUUCGGAUAAUGGACCUCAGUUCAAGUCAUUGAUCUUUGAAACGCUGCUGAAAAGGUAUAACGUUAGUCACUGGAAAAAUGCCAAUUAUCACCCAGCCAACAACCCCACCGAACGGGUAAAUCGUGUUAUUGUGUCCGCCAUCAGGUCGUACUUAAAGGGAGGCAACCAAAAGGCUUGGGAUGACAACCUACAGAUGGUGGCAAUGGCUAUAAGGACCGCGGUACACGAGUCUACUGAUUACACCCCAUAUUUUGUGAACUACGGAAGAAAUUACGAAGGUUCCGGCGUCGAAUAUGCUAAAAUUCGAGAGACCUCGGAUGAUUUCGAACAGGACCCCAAAGCAUUGAGCAAGGAAAUGCAGGAAAUCCAUGAACAAGUUCGAGUAAACCUAAAAAAGGCUUACGAGAAGUACAGCAAGUACUAUAAUCUGAGGGCAAGAGCAAAGGUCUCGAACUUCAAUAUCGGAGAGAUAGUUCUGAAGAAAAACUUUUUUCUGUCGAAUAAGGCAAAUAAUUUUAACGCCAAGUUAGCCGAAACGUACUCACCAGCAAGAAUAAUCGCCAAACACGGGAUGCACUGCUACGAGCUCGAAGAUAUGGCAGGAAACAGGUUAGGGGUCUUCAGGUCUGCUGACAUGCAGCCUAAAUAAACCGGCAGUUGAUCCAGCUAUGACGGUGUAAUCCACAUUUGGUGCACAUAAACAACAUUUCGUAAAAACACUCUUUGAGGUUCACUUGUCCAACGUUGAGAUGUCGUUCUGUUUCCUCCGUUGUUGACCAAGAUAGAUGUGUAGGGAUCCAGCGCGGGUAGAUCCGGCAAUGCCGUAUAGCUAUGUACAGAAUACACACGCUCAGAGAACCGAAAACUCUGGCCAAGCUGGUUUUGGAAGCCAACAGAUCGCUCGCAAGCAUCACCACACCCAACAUCUGAUUCGUAGUUAAUCCAACAUUGCAGUAUUUUUUUCUUGAAUCAGCUCACACUUCACUUUCUACUGAUAUUUUUUUUUCACCCGUAGAUUUCUUUCUCAAUAACACUAUUUUUCUUCAUAUUAUUUAAUAGGGCACAGCGACCGUAGUAUCUUCUUUAACUUUAUGCCCUGGAUUAUAAUUCACUUUUCGUCAAGCACAACCAUAGAUUUCUUCACCACCAAAUCGAAAUUCACAACAAAAUUUGCUACAUCCCCAACAAAAUUUGCUAAAUUCUUCCUCGGAGUCAUUGACCUCCGAUACUCCGCACAGCUCAGCACCAUUUUUCGUAUCCAUUUUCUUCUACCUGCGGUCGCCAGUUCACUGAAAAGAAAUAGAACCAAAUCAGCCUAACAUAAUUUCGAUACUAGUUAAAUAUCCAUGACCUCUCGAAGUUCGCUCCAUAGUCCAUCAAGUUUAGCUAAGUAAACUAAGUAAAUUAUUUCUAUACUUUUUCACUAUAUUUCACACUUUCGAAUAUUCCGCGACGAACCGCAACCAUAUCGAUACGCGACGAUUCGACAGACUGACUGACAGCACAGAGUACGCAGGAAAAGGGAACCUUGAGAGACGUUGAGUGACGAGAGAGAAGCUGUAAGUUGAUGAGAGUACCGUCGUUGAACGUGAUACCGGAUCACUGUUAGGUAGUGUAGUUUUGAAUAGAAUGAGGAGGAAUUUAAGGAUGGUUAUUCAGAUUGGUUUUUGAGUAUCUUUUCGGAUGGUUAUCUGAAAUAAGGAACCAAGAGUUCCAGUUCGGCGCGUUUCGCUACGCUGUAUGGUUGAGUGGAUACUCGACUACGGGAUUUAGAUUUCCUUUAUUCGUUUGGUUUUGUUUGUUGCGGAUAGUAAUCUGCUUCGAUUCACGAUGGUGGAUUAUUUGUUGAAAACGAGAAGAAUAGGAAAGGAAGCAAGUGUGAUGUGAGUGAUCCGUAAAGAAAAAGACGAUUUUGGUUCUGUGAAUAAUCGAAAAGUGUUACUGUAAAUAAUAUCUAUAGAUGUAAUAUAUAUUAAAAAAAACAAGUAUAGUGUAUAGUAUAUAUGUUCAACGUAAUAGUGAAUUCCUUGUUAGCGAAGAUUUUACUUCUGCUUAUUGUAUAGUUCAAAACAAUAAGCUAUGAAGUCGCAUUUGGAUUACGAUGAGGUAAGAGUAUAAUUCUGUUUUCUUUUGGUUCUGCUCAAAACUAAACUUAAUUGUUAAAAAAAAAAUAUAUAUUAAAAUACAUUUUUUUUUGUCGGGUAAGGGGGAAAUGUAACGUGGUUACAAGAAACACCAGUUCAGAAUUUUAUAACACGAUUUCAUUUUUUACGCUAUUUAAAAAAAACUAAGUUUGCACAUGGGACCAGCAAGGGUUAAACGAUAAGUUCUAAAUUUUAAUAUGCGCCCCUAGUGGUGGGAGAUGCAACCAAUAAUUUAAAUCUUUCGCUUGGUAAGUUGUUAUGUUCAUUUCAUCACUUAAGAAUGAUGAUCAUCAGGCUCAUCAGUUAGAUGCCCAACUGAUGAGCUGUUUAUCAAAAAAUACAAUAGCUCUGGGGCUUCGCGUCGGUUUACUAUUGAACAAAGCAUUUUCGAUCAAGUAUUCUCAGUUCGAUCAUUGGAAUAGUUGGACGUGUUGAAACCAAAAUUGUAAAAAUCAGAAGAAGUGAAACUAAAUCCAAGUGUGGAACAUUUUUUUAAAGCAAAAGUGAGACAAUGUACUAAAUUAUUAUAAUACAGUUUAAUCCUAAUCAAUAUUUUUCAGUUAAACAAUAAACUGUGGAAAAUACUGUUAAUCGAUAGGCCCUAUGAAAAGUUUUUGUAUAGAUCUCCCAAAAAGUGUAUCAAAAACUGAAAAACUGCGUACUAGUGUACUGCAGGUGCAGAAUUCCCUCGAGGACCAGGACACCCUCAUCCUUCAAGUGAAGGUGUCUGUGCAGGGCACAGGGGAUAACGGAACGCAAUCGUUAUUCCUAGGGACGAAUCCGAAGCCCGGCGGCUUGUAGGCCUGCCCUCGUCGUCGAGCCAGCAUUCGACCCUCGCGUGUCCUAGGGCCCAAGGUCAUCCACGCCUUUUAGGAGUUGGUCGGUCGCCAAUACUCCGCAUCUAACUCCUCGGCCUCGAAGGGAAUUACCAGGAAACCCCUCCAUGUGGGCGGGGCGUAUAAUCGGCUUCGAACGGACAGCCGCCGAACAGUGACGCAAUAAUCAGCACUGUUUCUACUGAUCUCACCUUGCUGUGCCGCUGUAUCGAUCGGCUACGUGGUAGAGCAGCCACCCAAGUGCUUGCUCGUGCAUUUGCUGAGAGUGAGUGCCACCCUUGAGACGUUGUCCCUCACCGCUCACCGUCGCCGAAGAUCCACUGUUGGUGGGUGACUGAGCUCCACUAUCGUCGUCGUGUGAACCUGGACAGGGGCGCCCCCACCGUGCCACUGUAAAGUAACCACUGAGGAACCGCCAGCAUGCUGCUAAAACCAGGUCAGAUCUAAUAGAUUAAGAUAUACACAUUCGCAAUCACCUUACCCUAGAACAUCAAAGAGAGAUUAUAGGUAGAUUUUGGUUUUGAAAAUUACGCUCUAGAGCUUAGAAAAUAAGUAAAUUUUAGCUACAGAAUAGGCCUAAAUAUAAUGAGAGGAAUGAGAAAGUUUGAUCGUUCAUUGAUUCGUGAGUUGGAACCGUUUUGCCCUCUAAGUUGAUCCUCGUUGUUGGGUGAUAUUUUUGAACGGCAUUUGCUUUGCGAUUGGUUCGGGAUUUGUCUAAGAUCUGCUAACGACUCGCCUUGAGGAGUCUCGCCGGGGUAAACCUUGCUGAUCCACAUGUAAGUGGACUUUGCCUACUUACUUGGCGCAUAAGUGGAAUCAGCUGUUAUGACUUUCUGACCCAGUGACGAAGAACCGUUACAGUCUUUUCGUGCAUGUAUGUAGUCCGUCAAAAUGACCUGUAAAAUGUCAAACAUUUUCAUGGCUAGCUUUGUUGGUGUAAUGAAGAAUUACAGCCAUCUCAUCAUCGCUUAUACCAGUGCUAGUACGAAACACCUGAAAACAACGUACCCUCAAAAACUUCGGAGAUUACCUACAGGCAUACAGACACGAGCAUCCAAGGAUGAAUUGAAAUCCGUGGCAGAGAGAAGGAACCAUGAGUUUGACGGAAAUUCCGACAAAAAGUACCGACACUGAAGCACCGAUGUCCACGUGGGGCCAGGCCACCUUAUCGUUUCUUCACAAACGAAAGCUCGCUCAUAGUACGACCAUUCUUUGAAAAAUGACUAAACUAUUUUAUAUUCCCUUCUGCCAAAAUCUAUAUAGUUUUUUUUUCCGUCCAUCUACAAAUUGUUUCACUUGUCAUCAGCUUCCGAACCAUAUCGCCAUAUCAAGGUUUCUGAAAACCAGAGCUCUUUGAUCACUUUUUUGCAUAUGCUUAGUAGUCCGCUAGUAUUUCUUAAGGUGCCAUUAGACUGUUUGUCAUUAUGACAAAUAUUUGCCAUUGAAGCCCGACAUUCAUCCAAGGUUGCUAUGAUUCACAUUGUGUUGGCCAUUUGUUGGACUUGUUUGACCAAAUAUUUGUCAUGUCUAAUGGGACCUUUAGUAUUUUACGAUACUUUGA